AGAGUUUGAUCAUGGCUCAGAACGAACGCUGGCGGCGUGCCUAACACAUGCAAGUCGAACGAGAAGUACGUAGCAAUACGUAUUGUAAAGUGGCGCACGGGUGAGUAACACGUGGGUAAUCUGCCCUUGAGUUUGGGAUAACCCCGCGAAAGCGGGGCUAAUACCGAAUAAGACCACGGGGACCAAAGUCCCUGAGGUAAAAGGUGGCCUCUAUUUAUAAGCUACCACUUAAGGAUGAGCCCGCGGCCCAUUAGCUAGUUGGCAGGGUAACGGCCUACCAAGGCGAUGAUGGGUAGCUGGUCUGAGAGGACGAUCAGCCACACUGGAACUGAGACACGGUCCAGACUCCUACGGGAGGCAGCAGUGGGGAAUAUUGCGCAAUGGGCGAAAGCCUGACGCAGCAACGCCGCGUGGGGGAUGAAGGUUCUCGGAUUGUAAACCCCUUUCGACCGGAACGAAUUCCCUCCUGGUAAAUAAUCAGGAGGAUCGACGGUACCGGGAGAAGAAGCCACGGCUAACUCUGUGCCAGCAGCCGCGGUAAGACAGAGGUGGCGAGCGUUGUUCGGAUUUAUUGGGCGUAAAGCGAACGCAGGUGGUUUGGUAAGUCAGAGGUGAAAGCCCACAGCUUAACUGUGGCACUGCCUUUGAUACUGCCUUUCUAGAGUGCAUGAGGGGGAAGCGGGAUUCCGAGUGUAGAGGUGAAAUUCGUAGAUAUUCGGAGGAACACCGGUGGCGAAGGC
rnacentral:rRNA from 1 species